rnacentral:rRNA from 1 species
GUAGUCCACGCCGUAAACGAUGAGUGCUAAGUGUUAGAGGGUUUCCGCCCUUUAGUGCUGCAGCUAACGCAUUAAGCACUCCGCCUGGGGAGUACGGUCGCAAGACUGAAACUCAAAGGAAUUGACGGGGGCCCGCACAAGCGGUGGAGCAUGUGGUUUAAUUCGAAGCAACGCGAAGAACCUUACCAGGUCUUGACAUCCCACUGCCCGGUAUAGAGAUAUACCUUUCCCUUCGGGGACAGUGGUGACAGGUGGUGCAUGGUUGUCGUCAGCUCGUGUCGUGAGAUGUUGGGUUAAGUCCCGCAACGAGCGCAACCCUUGAUCUUAGUUGCCAGCAUUUAGUUGGGCACUCUAAGGUGACUGCCGGUGACAAACCGGA